GUUGUCCUUCACCUUUUAAAAGAUCUACAUACAGCAUACAGCACUCGAACAGUUAUUAAUCGUAGCAAUUUAGCAUAGGGGUAAUGUUACAAAUGAUGUUCAAUUUCAAUAUGUAGAAAGUUUUACUGUUAUUUACUGUAGAAAAUAUUUUUUACUGCAAUGGGCAGGCCUGCAAACUUGAACUGUCGUCUUAAUAUGAGGCAGGCAUAACCUGUGAAUGGGGACGAAGUCUGUAUGUAUUAUUUUCUUACCUCAGGUAGCACUCCACAGUUAGAAAAUAAAAUUAAAAAUGAGCCACAAAAUGUUUAUCAUCUCCUAUUCCUGGAUUUCUAACACAUUAACCUAACUGUUUGUGUUGUACAUGUGCAUAUGUAUGUAAUCAGUAUAUUCCAUAGAUUUGAUUUUCAAAAGUUUAAAGAGUGAAAAUUAAUUCCUUUUAUGUGUAUCCAUGGCAACAUUCUGCAUUUAUUUACCAUAAAAUAUUGCAAAAAGGGGGUGGACAUGUCACAUAUCCCCCCAAAAUUUGGAUCAAACUAGAAUUUCAAUGCCUUUGAGUGAUACCUUUUUAGAAACUGUUUUCAUAAAUCUUCCUAAUGAUCAAAUAAAAAAUGGGUGUCUUUCGCCUCAUUUUAUGGUAAAAUCCAAUCACAAAGUUUGUGCGAUAAAAAGUUGGAAAAAAACAUUACAAUAAUUGCCGGACCAAUGUAUGGUAGGGACAUGCAAAUACGGACUCAUACAGAAAACAGCCUAUAUUACAUACAUUACAUAAUCUUGAUGUUCAUAAAGACCCAAUACGAAGGCUAUUUUAAUACUCAGCUAUCCAAAAAUGAAUUUUAUUGCACACUAGCUCUCAUAUUUGAAAAAUCCACAGGGGCCAAAAUGCGAAACUACACACCUAACUGUGGAGUGCUAUCUCAAACAUGUUAAUAAAGGAAAUGGAAAUACCGUAACGUUCCCGAUUUCGGUUCCGUGGUUAGGGAUUUAGCUGUGACGUUGUUUAAAUUAUGACGUCAUAUUCAAUGUAAACAAAAGAAACGCUUCCAUCAGGUAACGUUUUUUCAAAAUCAAAACAAUUAUUAAAAAAUGAAAUUGUAUUGAGUUCCAAUCUUAUAUUUUACUAGACUGAUACAUAUAAUUUUCUUUUCAAAGUCUCAUGCAAACAAGACAGAUUUCUGCACAAAUGCGGGGAAAACCGGAACAGGAACUAGAUCUGAAAAAAAAAGUUAACGAUUUUGAGUUCAUUAGUAGAAUGAAAAAUUCGGGAAAUUUUCCCGAUUUUUUUUUUUUUCUUUUCUACCGUAAUUGGGGACUUCGUCCCCAUAUAAAUACGCUAACCAUCAAUGAUUCUGUGAUGAGGAGUACCCAAAUUGCAUCCAUGCUUAAAUUCUCAUCGUCAAAAGUCGAAUAACAGAGCUUUUGUUUGUUUUUUUGGAAAGAUUAGAGACACCAGCCUCCCUAACAACAGGACAGGUUAGCUACUGUUACUAAAUGUAUUCACACUGAAAUAUAGUUCCCUAUGGUUCUCAUGUAUGUGCACAUAAUACACAUGUAAACUGAAAAAAACUGGGCAUAUUAUUGGAGCAGUUCAUUCAAGAAUGUAUGUCAUUAAGGUGUGUUGAUGUGCAGGCUUUUUAAAAAAAACAUUUUGAUUAGGUAACUGGGUAUUGAUUCAACUAGUAUGAUUGACAACUGUCAUUGUCACUAAACAAUCAAAGACAAGGUGGACCUUUAAUUACAAUGCCCCACCUCCUAAACUGCCAAUCAAAUUGACCACAUUACCUAUCAACCUCAGUCUUACAUAAUUAAACAGACCACUCAAAUAUACAUAUAAAUUCUUAAUACACAAGCAUUUGACCUCAUAAUUGAAUACACAAAUGUGUAUAUUAGAUGUUUGAUAUUUAUAAGGAUGAUAGAUUUAUUUAUUGCCAAUUACUUUUGAUCUACAUUACAUAAAGUGAUUCUGUAAAUUAUAUCUGAAAGAUAAAUGAUUAAUGGAUUAACAAGAUCUUAAAAAAAAUGAAAUAUGAAUAUAAAUAUGAAUAAAUAAAAGGUAUUCAAGUAAGGCCUAUAAUCUACUUGAUAAAUUUCCAAUAAUCAUCUGUAAUUAAUCAACAAUUAGAUUAAUUUUAGUACACUUUUUUUUAUCAGGAAUUGGCUUGAAACUGUUUAAAAAUUUUAAAACUUUUAAUUAUAACAAACCAUUGUUUAUUAGUUUAUUUCCCAUCAAUAUUAUGUCUAUUUUAGUAAUUUGAAUUUUUAUUAGAAGUGAAUAUAUAUUUUUUUUGCAAUCAAGAAAGAAUCCACAUUUCAAUAAGAUAAGUUAUUUAAUUGGUUUACAUUGAAAAAGUACAUUUUCAAUGCCCUGUGUUGAAAAAUACUUUAAAAAUUGAUCAAAAGGCACUCUAAAACUUUUAAUCUUCAAUGCCAUAUAACCUCUGUUUCAACUUGGUUGGUAACAUUUACUAGAAGAAUUUUUGCAUUUUUUUGUUUUUUUUGAAACAUGUUCAGAACUGGCAACAUAAUUUUGAUAAGAUAUAAACUGCAGUUUAAAUAAAAUUGUGCAAAUUAAGAGACCCAUAUUAUUUAAUUUGAGCUCAUUUUAUCCUCAUACUGGAAAAGCAAGUUUCCUUUUAAGGACCUGCUGUACAUGCAAUUUUCAGCAAUAGUGCUGAUAAAUUAUAAAUGUUCAUUUUUCCCCACCAUACCUUAAUAGAAAUAAUUCAAACUACUCUUCUAAUCUUUCCAUGAGUGAUUUCCAUCACUUUGAUUUAAAUAUUUUGAACAAUUGGAUAUUUGUCCAUGCUAACUCUUCUUUUUUUAAGAAAUGAAUACUUGAAACAUAUUGUAUUUGCUAAUUUUAAAAAGAUGACGUUUUGAUGACGUUUCAGUACAUUUUGCUUUUUCAGUAAACACUUCAUCUGUUGAUAAAUACUGUGAACGUGUUGUGUAUAUCUAAAUAUAUUUACCUAUUUUGAAAGACCUUUAUAGUAUCAAAUCAUAAAAAUACAAAUUGUUUAGUCUCUAGGAGAUCUUGUAAGAUUUCCGCUGCUAUUUUUGCUAAAUAGGUGCAAUUUGGAUACUCGUUGCAAUUUGGGUACCGUUACAUUAGUAGCUUUAGAUAGUCUUUUACUUUAGCUAGACGAGCUGUCAAAUAAAUUAUUUUGAUUUUUAUCAGAUUGGAAUUUUUCCCUAAAAGAAUUACAAAUUAAAAAUGUAACCUUUUUCCAUAUUGUUUGGGUUGCACAUGGUGUGUAAUGGUCUGUAAUGAAAGAGUGGAAUACCAAAGCGCCAAACAGAGAAAAAUUAGAUGAUAAAAAGAAGAAAAACUUAUGCCACUUAGGCCCUAUGGAUGGGAACUUAAUUGACCUAUUCAUAUAUUUAUCAUAGGUUGAUUAUAUUGGGAAUCACUGAAGGGUGAGUGGAGCAUGCCCCCCCCCCCCCCCCCCCCCCCCCCCCCCCUCUCUUUAGGUCAUUCUGCGGUUUUGGAUCUGCCACUGUUUAUAACCAGGAAGAUUUGGACAAUUGGGACUUAGAAAUAAAUCAAAUUGAGUCAAUAUAUGUUAAGUGCUAUAGUGACAAUUUGUUAAUUCAAUUAUCCCAACUUUUACAUUUCUUUGUGUUCAAUUAACUCUUGUUAAGGGGGCUCACGGGUAUAAAUAAUUUUUUUUAAAUAUUUAUUAGGAUUUCGCUAUAUUUUUCUAUAAAUGAACUUUAUCAUAUACUUAAAAGAAAAAUAAAAUAAAAAAAUUGGGUCACCAUUUAUUUAAGCUCUAAAUCUGCCUUCGAAAGAAGCAUACAUUUUUUGUACAGGUACUUUUUUUAUAUGACCGCAAAAAUUUUAAUUUUUUGGUCGUAUAUUGCUAUCACGUUGGCAUCGUCGUCGUCGUCGUCGUCCGAAUACUUUUAGUUUUCGCACUCUAACUUUAGUAAAAGCGUAUAGAAAUCAAUGAAAUUUUAACACAAGGUUUAUGACCACAAAAGGAAGGUUGGGAUUGAUUUUGGGGAGUUUUGGUCCAACAUUUUAGGAAUUAGGGGCCAAAAAGGACCCAAAUAAGCAUUUUCUUGGUUUUCGCACUAUAACUGUAGUUUAAGUGAAUAGAAAUCUAUGAAAUUUUGACACAAGGUUUAUGACCACAAAAGGAAGGUUGGGAUUGAUUUUGGGAGUUUUGGUUCCAACAGUUUAGGAAUUAAGGGCCAAAAAAGGGCCCAAAUAAGCAUUAUUCUUGGUUUUCGCACAAUAACUUUAGUAUAAGUAAAUAGAAGUCAAUGAAAUUUUAACACAAGGUUUAUGACCACAAAAGGAAGGUUGAGAUUGAUUUUUGGAGUUAAAGUCACAACAGUUUAUGAAUUAGGGGCCAAAAAGGGGCCAAAAUAAGCAUUAUUUUUGGUUUUUGCACCAUAACUUUAGUAUACCGGUAAGUAAAUAGAAAUCUAUGAAAUUUAAACACAAGGUUUAUGACCAUAAAAGGAAGGUUUGGGUUUGAUUUUGGGAGUUUUGGUCCUAACAGUUUAGGAAUAAGGGGCCCAAAGGGUCAUAAAUUGAACUUUGUGUGAUUUCAUCAAAAAUUGAAUAAUUGGGGUUCUUUGAUAUGCAGAAUCUAACUAUGUAUGUAGAUUCUUAAUUUUUGGUCCCGUUUUCAAAUUGGUCUACAUUAAGAUCCAAAGGGUCCAAAAUUAAACUUAGUUUGAUUUUAACCAAAAUUGAAUCCUUGGGGUUAUUUGAUAUGCUGAAUUUAAAAAUGUACUUAGAUUUUUAACUAUUGGCCUAGUUUUCAAGUUGGUCCAAAUGGGGGUCCAAAAUUAGACUUUGUUUGAUUUCAUCAAAAAAUUGAAUAAAUAGGUUCUUUGAUAUGCCAAAUCUAACUGUGUAUGUAGAUUCUUACUUUUUGGUCCAGUUUUCAAAUUGGUCUACAUUAAGGUCCAAAGGGUCCAAAAUUAAACUAAGUUUGAUUUUAACAAAAAUUAAAUUCUUGGGCUUAUUUUGAUAUGCUUUAUCUAAAUAAUGUACUUUGAUUUUGAUUAUGGGCCCAGUUUUCAAGUUGGUCCAAAUCAGGAUUCCAUAUCAAGUAUUGUGCAAUAGCAAGAAAUUUUCAAUUGCACAGUAUUGCACAAUAGCAAGAAAUAUCUAAUUGCACAAUAUUGUGCAAUAGCAAUUAAUUUUCAAUUGGAGUUAUCUUUCUUUGUAUAGAAUAGUAGUUGAUAAUAUAUGUUGGAAAUUUGCCAGACAUGACUAUGAUGUCAUUUUCUAUUUUUAUUUGCCAAUAACUUUAUGUAAAUAACUUCAUUGGAAAUUUGCCAAUAUAAAAUGUUGCUGAUGAAGCUUUUUUCCUUAUCUUAUCUAAAAUGUUUUUAGAUAAUGUAUGUUGGACAUUUGCCAGACAUGACUAUGAUGUCAUUUUCUAUUUUUAUUUGCCAAUAAUUUUAUGUAAAUAACUUCAUUGGAAAUUUGCCAAUAUAAAAUGUUGUUGAUGAAGUUUUUUUUAUUGUUUUAUACAAUAAACAAUGUAUAUUCACUUUUACUACCAACCAAUCUUUACCAUUCAGUGAUAACAAGCACUUUAUUUACAUUUUAAUAUUUUAUGAUGUAUUUAAAAGAGUAGUUAUUGUUGCAAACUCCAUUAGAAAUUUGAAUUGAUAUCAGUUUUGGAGAAAGGGAAACGGGGAUGUGAAAAAAAAGGGGGGUUGGGUUAAAUUUUUCUCAUUUCAGAUUUCAUAAAUAAAAGAAAAUUUCUUCAAACAUUUUUUGAGAGGAUUAAUAUUCAACAGCAUAGUGAAUUGCUCAAAGGCAAAAAAAAACUUUUUAAGUUCAUUAGACCACAUUCAUUCUGUGUCAGAAACCUAUGCUGUGUCAGCAAUUUAAUUUUAGAUUUAAAAAGUUUGAAGAAGAAAUCUUUAAUUGAUUUGUAAAAUCUUGACAUUUGUUUUGUGUAAAAAAAACCAUGUAAUGUCAAAAUUUGAUCACAAUCCAAAUUCAGAGCUGUAUCACGCUUGAAUGUUUUGUCCAUACUUGCCCCAACUGUUCAGGGUUCGACCUCUGCGGUCGUAUAAAGCUGCGCCCUGCGGAGCACCUGGUUUCUGUUGAAUAGGAGAAAUAGAGGUAAUAUCGAAAUAAAAAUCAAACUAAAUUACAGAAAUCCCUUAAAUUUUACAAUAGUUUAGUUUAAGUGCAGCUUAUUUGAAAAAAAUAAUAAAAGAUAUAGGUCACCAAUCAGUUAAAAAAGAUAUUUCAAAUUUAAUGCAAAAAAAAUGCAUUUUUGCACAAAAGGGAGAUAUUUUGGAGCUUUUCCAGUGACAUAUAUAUAUAUGUAUACAUUUUAAAAGUCAUUUGGGGCCAAAACGAAUUGAUUUUUUUGGUUGAUUUUUAUACCAUAUGAUAGAUUAACAACUUAUAGAAUAUGAAAUGAAAUUUUUAUAAUAAUAAAAAAAAAAAUUUCAGCAUUUGCUGAAAUUUUUGUACCCUCGAGCCUCCUUAAACAUUGUUAAAUAUAUAUGUUUGUUGUAAUGGAAAUCACUUUGACGAUGACAAGUUAAUCCGUUGGACACAAAUCCUUUUCUAUAGAUACUGUUUUUUGAUAAGCUUCUGACUUAUGAAGUCAGAUUAGGUCUUAAGCCUGGUCCUGUUCGAACCUUGCUAUAAAUAAAGUUUUAAGUAUUGGUAUUCCGUCUUUGAAUUACUAUAACACGGAAAACUCCCGGUUAUAUAUUUCUGAUAGUUCAAAUGUAACCAAAUUGAUACCAUGAUGUUCCUUAGGGUAUCUAAAUGUACUUAAAAGUCAUGUGGCAGCUGCUCCAUCUAAAAACAUGGCUGAUGUUGCUAAAAAUAAAACAUAAGGAAAAUAUGCAGUUUUUGGCUUAGAUCUUAAAGUGAAAAGAUCAGCAGGUCAAGGUUUAUCACCUGUGAUAUUUCAUGUAUUUGUAGAAUUUGAGACAAUCCAUUUUUUAAUGUCCAUUUAGAAGUGUUGAAUUUUUAGAAAACUACAAAGUAUUUAUAUUUCUAAAACUAACAUGCUAAAUGUAAAUAUGACAAAUUUAGAAUUUAUCAGAAGGUCAAUCAAUUUUUAUCUCUUGCAAAUUUUAAAGAAAAAUUGACAACCCUUUUUAAUGUUAUUGUCCCUGAAAAUUUCAGUUUUUAUAAACUUACUGUAUGAUUGAAAAAAUAGGAUUUAUAAGCGUAAAUUCUGAAAUUGGCUUAUAUGUCUAAAAUUAAAGUAGUUAGCAGCAGGUCCAAGUCAGUCAUCAUUUUAGAUUUCAAAAUCAUCUGACAAUCCAUUUAGGAGUUAUUGCCCCUGAGAUGUCAAGUUCAAAGUCAUUGGCUUAUAUCUAGAUAUCUGGUGUAGUAAGUGCUAACCUGACUGGUUAGAAUUAAUCAUGUAGUCUAAGGUCCUCUAUCUCCUGUUUAAUUUUCAGAGAAAUUGAACAAUCCAUAUUGUAAAAUUUCACAGAUUUUGAUUAUUAUCUUUAAAUUGUAAAAGAAAGAGAGAACUUGUAGGCUGUGAAAAUGUCAGAAACAAUAAGCUCCACAUAUAAACAAUCUGCCGAAAGAUCUUUUUAAGAGAAUACAUGAAUAGGUAUCUUACAAAAAGUGUGAUUUAGUUUUGCUAUCAAAUGGAACACCAUCUAACAAUAUAAUAAAAAUAUUGAUAAAAAAUCUUCAGUUUAAUAUGAGGCCAAAGUCAAUCUGAAAAUGUUCAAAUACAUGUAUCCUGUGUGACUGGAUUACUCUAACACAUUGUCUUUUAACAUAAUACAAUAGUAACUUUUAUGAAAUGCAGAACCAAAAGCUUCAUUCAAAUUAAAAUUGGGGACAUUUUGAACCACAAAAAAAAACACCAUCUGAAAGUAUCCAUUUUGGGGAGGUGGGAAGUACAAAAAAAUGUAGUAACAAACAUUGAGUCGAACCAGACAUUAUAGAUUUAACAAAUUGAUAUUUAUCCAUAAAAUUACAGAUAACAACAGAAUCAAUUUUUAAUUAUUUACCAAUGAGCUUAAAGGGAGUUUGAAGUAAUUGAUUUUAUACCAUGUUUAUUUUUUUACUUUAAAACAUUAUUAUUUCAGUAUGAUAACACAGUGCCAUUGAAAUGACAUCAAAAACGGUGAAGUUAAGUUUGUCCAGUAUAGAGGCUGACGAAGGAGAUGGAGCUGUGGUUAGAAGAAGUAUAGGAAGACCAGAGGUAA
rnacentral:lncRNA from 1 species